AAUCCGUGGUGCGAGCAUUUCUGGAUCAACAUUUUAAAAUGUUCCCAAGCCUCAUAAAAACUUUUUCCUUCCAUUUUUCUAAAAACAAAAAUUUCUCUUCUUAGUUG
rfam:Gossypium arboreum cultivar AKA8401 contig_3287_1, whole genome shotgun sequence.